rnacentral:rRNA from 1 species
GGCGGCAGCUACACAUGCAGUCGAGCGGAUGAGAGGAGCUUGCUCCUCGAUUCAGCGGCGGACGGGUGAGUAAUGCCUAGGAAUCUGCCUAGUAGUGGGGGACAACGUUUCGAAAGGAACGCUAAUACCGCAUACGUCCUACGGGAGAAAGUGGGGGAUCUUCGGACCUCACGCUAUUAGAUGAGCCUAGGUCGGAUUAGCUAGUUGGUAGGGUAAAGGCCUACCAAGGCGACGAUCCGUAACUGGUCUGAGAGGAUGAUCAGUCACACUGGAACUGAGACACGGUCCAGACUCCUACGGGAGGCAGCAGUGGGGAAUAUUGGACAAUGGGCGAAAGCCUGAUCCAGCCAUGCCGCGUGUGUGAAGAAGGCCUUCGGGUCGUAAAGCACUUUAAGUUGGGAGGAAGGGCUUACAGCGAAUACCUGUGAGUUUUGACGUUCCCGAGAGAAUAAGCACCGGCU